UCCCUGGUAGCUCAGAUGGUAAAGAAUCUGCCUGCAAUGCAGGGCACUCAGGUUCAAUUCCUGGGUUGGGAA
rnacentral:tRNA from 1 species